GUAGGUGGCAAGCGUUGUCCGGAAUUAUUGGGCGUAAAGCGCGCGCAGGUGGUUCUUUAAGUCUGAUGUGAAAGCCCCCGGGCUCAACCGGGGAGGGGUCAUUGGAAACUGGGGAACUUGAGUGCAGGAGAGGAAAGUGGAAUUCCACGUGUGCGGUGAAAUGCGUAGAUAUGUGGAGGAACACCAGUGGCGAAGGCGACUUUCUGGCCUGUAACUGACACUGAGGCGCGAAAGCGUGGGGAGCAAACAGGAUUAGAUACCCUGGUAGUCCACGCCGUAAACGAUGAGUGCUAAGUGUUGGGGGGUUUCCGCCCCUCAGUGCUGCAGCUAACGCAUUAAGCACUCCGCCUGGGGAGUACGGCCGCAAAGACUG
rnacentral:rRNA from 1 species